AUUGAACGCUGGCGGCAUGCCUUACACAUGCAAGUCGAACGGCAGCACGGGUGCUUGCACCUGGUGGCGAGUGGCGAACGGGUGAGUAAUACAUCGGAACAUGUCCUGUAGUGGGGGAUAGCCCGGCGAAAGCCGGAUUAAUACCGCAUACGAUCUACGGAUGAAAGCGGGGGACCUUCGGGCCUCGCGCUAUAGGGUUGGCCGAUGGCUGAUUAGCUAGUUGGUGGGGUAAAGGCCUACCAAGGCGACGACCAGUAGCUGGUCUGGGAGGACGACCAGCCACACUGGGACGGAGAAACGGCCCAGACUCCUACGGGAGGCAGCAGUGGGGAAUUUUGGACAAUGGGCGAAAGCCUGAUCCAGCAAUGCCGCGUGUGUGAAGAAGGCCUUCGGGUUGUAAAACACUUUUGUCCGGAAAGAAAACCUUUGCCAUAAUACGGGCGGGGGAUGACGGUACCGGAAGAAUAAGCACCGGCUAACUACGUG
rnacentral:rRNA from 1 species